rnacentral:misc_RNA from 1 species
UGAUAUGGGACAACACGUUUUCUAUAAUUUUCGCCAUUCUUGUCUUUGUUUCCAUCAUACAGUUUCUACGGAUUUUGGGUUACAGCAAGAAAGUAACGGAAAUCCUCUCCGUCAUCACUAAUGUCGGACGAGAUCUCUACGGAUUCUUGAUCAUGUUUUCCAUCAUGUUCUUUACCUUCGUAGGAACAGGUUACCUCUUAUUUGGAUCAAGCGUCAAAGAAUACAAAAGUUUCUUCAGCGUUAUUGGAAGUCUGACAAAUACCUUCAUUGGUGUGAACAGCCUUGAUGCUUUGGUAGAAUCGAACCCUGUGGUGGCUAGAAUGUUCUACUUCAUGUACAUUCUCCUGGUUAUCAUGACUUUGUUCACUAUUUUUGCCGCCAUUCUGAACAAAAGUAUUACUGAUGUGAAGGAAGAGAGCGCAGGCGCUGCAGAGAUCGUUGGCGUAAUGGAUAUAGUGUUGAAGUCCGCUAAGUCAGCAUUAGCUUUUGUGCCUUCCGUGGGCAAAAACAAUGCUGCCGAUGAAAAAAAUGAAAACUGGGGUAAUCUACAGGACGAGCUGCGUAAAGGAAAUGUAAACGCAAUUAAUGUGAUGCGACUAGUAAGAGAAACAUUUAGUGACAUUGAAGGAGUGGAAGUGCAGCCCCAGCCAGAGAAGACGGAAAACAAAUCGGCGACGGGAGUCGAAGAAUUCCUUCUAAACGUGGACAGAGAAAUUCAGAGCUAGGCUCCGAUAGUCCAUCCCAGAUAUCUCUUCGAGAGGAGUUGGACGAUGACGAGAAGAAAGUCCGAUUUAAGUUUAUAUGAGUGACCAUUGGUUUGUCACAAUUCUUGGACUUGUUAAAAUCUGUAUUGUUUGUUUUUUCUAUGCAACUUAAAUUUGAUCAUUAUAAGUUUGUACAAUUAGCACAACCAUUCGACAAAAGUGAAAUGAGUUUCACUGAUAAAAGUUAAACUUAUACCACAAUAUUUUCAGUUAAAUGACAAUAUUUUCGAAUUUCACACAUGUUUGAACAGCAUAAUUUACGGAGGAAAUCAGUGUUAAAAUAAAAUGGAUAAUAUAUAUGCUCACUUGAUCGUAGAACAGAUUUUGAACCUCUAAUAAUUUCAUGGAAGAUGAUAAUACCGUGUUACAGUGAUUCAUCGCCUAGUUUUUUUUAUGAAAAAGGGUAUCAAGUAUUCAUUGACAACAAUUUGGAACAAGACCCACUCGUAAAUGAAAAAGCGCAUAUACUCUUGAAAAUUAAACUUUCAUAUUUUGGAAAUCUUACACCAGGUAUAUUCGAUCGCCAUGCUUAAAAUCGAUAUUCUGAUCAAUAUACCGUUGAGAAUGGAUAUUCUAAAGAUAUGUUGGAUAUAUAUAUAAGGAUUCUAAUUGGGGUUUUUUUUUCCUUCUUAUUUGAUUACAGUUUAUACGCUUUAUUCCUUUAAUAGAAACCGAGUUUUAAUUAUAUUCUUUUGGGAAAAUAUUGCUUAUUUCUCCCAUUGAGUUCCAGAGCUGAAAGUAUUAUUUGUCGAUAUGAGAAGAGGGUGAUAAGAUGACAAUUUUACUUUUAAGAGAAAGCGGUUCUAUUUAUUGAUGUACAUGUAUAUACCGAUAAGUUAUGUUACUUGUUCACAUUGUUACACAAUUUUAAUUUUGAAUAAACAAAUGAAAAUGUUGAC